rnacentral:rRNA from 1 species
AGAGUUUGAUCCUGGCUCAGGACGAACGCUGGCGGCGUGCUUAACACAUGCAAGUCGAACGGUGAUGUCAGAGCUUGCUCUGGCGGAUCAGUGGCGAACGGGUGAGUAACACGUGAGUAACCUGCCCCCGACUCUGGGAUAACUGCUAGAAAUGGUAGCUAAUACCGGAUAUGACGACUGGCCGCAUGGUCUGGUCGUGGAAAGAAUUUCGGUUGGGGAUGGACUCGCGGCCUAUCAGGUUGUUGGUGAGGUAAUGGCUCACCAAGCCUACGACGGGUAGCCGGCCUGAGAGGGUGACCGGCCACACUGGGACUGAGACACGGCCCAGACUCCUACGGGAGGCAGCAGUGGGGAAUAUUGCACAAUGGGCGAAAGCCUGAUGCAGCAACGCCGCGUGAGGGAUGACGGCCUUCGGGUUGUAAACCUCUUUUAGUAGGGAAGAAGCGAAAGUGACGGUACCUGC